UUCAGGAAGAAUCUUAAGAAAAUCUCAAUGGCAAAGCGCGAACAAGCAAAAGAACUGCCAAUAAUGGGAAAAGAGCUAUCCUUAUGAUGUUAUGCAAGAAAAAGCAAACCACACAGAAGAACUGCACAGUGCAGUGAAGCUGGAAUGCAAGUCUUCAUCAGAAGGGAGGGAACAAACUGGAUAAUUUAACCACAAAAUAUGUGAACCACAAACAAGUGUAAACACACAGAUGACUUUCUAACACUGUUGAUGUCAGGCUUGGCCAUGCAAUUUAUUUUGGCCAAUGGAAAUUAACGAGUUUU